CUUUGGGUCAUAAGUUCAAACUCGGUCUUAAGGACCACACAUAUAUAUAGAUUGCUGAAGUUAGUGGGACAUGUGGCCCAAUCAGCCCCAAACAGGCUUAGUUUUGCACGCAUAAUUGAAGUCCUGGACACAAGGAAUAUUGCUAACAGGUAUCAGGUAUCCAAACAAUUCAUCAGAUUUAUCAGAACCUUAAUAGAAAUAAAAAUAGGCUCACAUUUGUUAAACUAUUACAAACUCAGACGAACUCAUUUGAGUCGGCUACGAACACACAUAAAUUGUAUGAACAUGAAGACUACAUUAAUGACUAAUUACACUAUCACCACACCAAUGUCCUAAAACUAACAAGCAAUUUUUUUUCAUCAUAGUUACACGACAACCUGCAACUCAUGGACACUUUAGAGUUCAUGCCAGACCUAAACACGAGAUUGGGAAGCCAUUUACUACAUUACUAUUACAUCACAAAGGUCAACUGCAGGAAUAACUAAAACAAAAGGGAUUCCUAAUUAAACAUCCUAUUAAUGGGGUGCACAGCUAUACAUUAAACAAAAUUUAUCAGCUAAAUGAGACAAGGGAAGGAUAUUUAAUAACUAAACACAUGCAUACCAAAAUCACAGCUUCAUACUACAUUCGUAUGAGAUCCAUUGGGCCAAAAUAUACCUGGAAAAUGGAAAGAAAGUGAGGAUGAGAGUUCAGCAAGCAUGCAUCAGAGUAAUAGUAAUUUAACCACUCAAAAUAAUCCCAUAUCCCAGGCAAUUAGAGAUAGAUGACAAGAUAAUUUUCAACUUGAAGAAAUGAAGUAAAAGGAACCAAGAAUUGGCUUCAAACCAUCAUGUAUCCAAACUCAAAUCAAAGAAUGCCAAAUAGCACGAAAUUUUUUAGAAUGAGAAGCUCUUUUUAUAAGGUUAAAGAUUGAUCCAAUAUAACCGUAAAAUUUCAAUAGUAUGCAUAUAUUAUCUAAAGGUUUUUCCGGCCCCCUUUUUAGUGAUUUUCAAUCCCUUUUUAUUGCCAAAAGCUAGGGCAACACUAUUAUUGUGUUUUAACCGAAGGUCCUCCCCUUAAUUUUCAAAUUUCACCUAUUUGGACCCUCAUUUUUUGCCUUGUUGCCCAUUUUAUUGCAACAAAUAUAUUGAUUUUGUAUUAAAGACCCCUUCUAGAAGGGUCUAAAGACUUCUACCAUCAUCUAUCCUUCAUAGACUACCUAUAUUACCCUUAUUUUGUUCCUAAUAUUACCAAAGCUAAGUUCAAAAUUCUAUAUUACCCUUAUUUAUAAAUUAUCAGAAAUAGGUAGGAAAACCAUAUACUACCCUUAAGUUACUUAUUUGGUAUCAAAACUAAUAGGGUGUUUGGCUAAGCUUAUAAGCUGGUCAAACAGGCUUAUAAGCACUUUUUGACUUAUUUAUGCGUUUGGUAAAGUUAAAAGUGCUUAUAAGUUAAGUGCUUAUAAGCCAAAAAUAAGCCAAAAGUCAUAAGUUGGUCUCUCCCAACUUAUCAAAUUCCAGCUUAUUAGCACUUACGGUUUGACCAAAAUAUUUACUAUUAUAUCCUUAAAAUAAUUCAUAAGUUGGUCUCCCCCAACUUAUCCAAUUUUAGCUUAUAAGCACUUUAUGUUUGACUAAAAUAUUUACUAUUUUUUCCCUAAAGGACUUCUUUUUAAAUAAAACUCUUCGUAUACCCAAUUUUCAGUUGCUUAUUAUUAAUUUCAAUACUUUUAUCCAAACACGUAACUGCUUAUUUUUUAAAUCAGCUUCAGCACUUAAAAAUUCUUUACAGCACCUAAUGCUUAUCAUCUAAGCCAAACGAGCUCUAACUCCUAAAAUUAACUCUUCUAAUCUUAACAGCUAUAACCAAUUCAAUUGAUACUAAUCAAGGGAAAAUGCUAAUCAGCUCUCAGGAAUCAAGGUAAAAUUAAGUCUAAUACCCAGCUUGAGAAGAAAAAUAAUGGGAGGCUACCACUACCAAAGUUUCAACUCAGAAACCACUACCUCAAAUGAUUAAUUGAUCUUCAUACUCAGAAAAUAAGGAAAUUAUUCAAACUAAGAAUAAAUAGAGGAGUUGUUAUGCUAAACCAAUCAAACAAUCAAGACCAUUUCCUAUGUAAACUCAAACCAUACAAAGACUAAAUAAAACAUGACAAACUUAAAAUUUAAACUUGAAACGGGUAUGGCAAACAAAACAGGCACGGCUAAUUUGGCUAACAAACGGACAUGCUCAGGAUUAGAAAAGGAAAAACAUACCUAUGAGCCCUAAAAAAAUCUAAUAACAUGUUUUUCAAUCUAAAGGAAAUAAAUCUAGACUAAAAAAUAGAAGCACAGAUCAAUAUGAACUUACUGAUUCUUCCAUUAACCUUGUUGAAACAAAUUUGAAUCAAUACUUAAAGGUCUCUGAAAUUUAGGAUUAAAUAUAGCCAUGGCUGCUGUCGACAUUAGAGGGAUCUGGGGUUGUUUUAGAGGGCAUGGGGGUGUAUAUUGGAUGAGGGAGACCAAGCAAUCCUAGGGUGUGGCUCUACAAUGAUUUGGUGGUGUUUUGAUGGUGUUAGAUGGCAUUGGAUGGUGUUGGAUGGCAUUGGAUGGAAAUCACCGCCGUGCAUGGCGGUGCUGCCAUCUUCUGGCGUAUAUUUGAGGCGUUGUGAAUAUAUUCGAGUGUAAAUACAGGUAAGGCUGGGGUGAGGGUGAGUGUAAAUACAGGGAAAUUAUUGGUGCUAAUUUGGGAGAUGUUUGCUACCGGCCGCCGCCGUAGACGGUGGAGCCGCCGUGCUUUGAUUGGAUAUUAGAGCUCAUCGGCAGUGAUUCGAAGGAUGAUUUUCAUGGGAAUGGGAAGAGGAGAACGGGACGCUUCUAUGGUGUAAUUUUGGGAAGCAUUGGGGUUACGCUGCCACCGGCGGUGAUUUCAAACCGAUAACAGACAGUGGGCUUAUGGUGGCUCAUGGGCGGUGUUUCACCGGUGAGGGAAUGUACGAGGAUGAUGCCGCCGCCGGCGGACGGUGGAUUUAAGGUGGAUCAUGGGCGGUGUUACACCGGUGAGGGUUUGUACGAGGAUGAAGGAGUUUGGUCUCUGAGUAUAUUACACGCGUUUGGACAUUUAUAUUUGGUUUUGGGAUGGGGGGGUUUUAGGACCGUUGGAUGAGUUGUGAUCAAGGGCUGGGAUGAAGGGUAGACAAACGACAUCGUUUGGCACCCCUGGGGCUGGACUAGGUUGGGGACAAACGGACUGAGUGUUUUGGUCCUAAGUUUCAACUUCUUGUGGCCCAGCUUGGAUACAUUGGACUUAUGUUUCAGCCUUCUUUAAAUCAUUUCUUUAUUUUAACAAACCUAAUUAUUCCAUAAGACUUAAUUAAGCAAUCAAAUAAAAGAUUAACAAAAUACUUAAAAUCAAACUUAUAUACACAUUAAGCCAAUUUUUUGAAUUUCAUUUUCCGAUUAUCAAUUAAUUUCUAAAAAUAUAAAAUUACUUCUAAAUGCACAUGCCUCAUGUAUCCUGUAUUUUGUUGUUCAGAAAUGCAUAGAAAUGGAAGCAACUAACAGCAUAAUGCCACGAGAAAUCAAAUCUGCAAGUAAACAAUGAAAUUAUUUUAUUUUGAAUUUGUGGGAGUAGUUCGUAUAGGGUAAAAGUCACAUGCUCACACCCAGAAAUAAAUUAAAUGGUCAAAUCUAUAUAUUGGUCCAUUUAACUCAAACUUACAAAAAUCAUUCCAUAACAGACUAAUUCAGCUAAAUUGUUUCAAUUAUUAUAUCGAUUUUUGCUAAGUACCAAUUGCCUAUCGCUAAUAUAAGGUGGAAAUAUAACGGCUGUAUAACAUUCGAAAAAGCUUCUUAGGUGAUGAAAUAUUGCAUUACAUAUGUAUAUCACUUCAAGACUUCACAAAAAAAUGUUUGAUUGAUAACUUUAUUCACAUCUUCCCCUUCCAAUAGCAUGCGAAGCCCAACAAACAAACAAAGAUGGAUUCAAAAACAUGGUAAAGAUAUAAGUCUACCAAAACUAAAAGGAAACUUUACCAAAAAUGCAACUCAAAAGUCAUAAAAUACUACAGCUCUCAUGAAGAUGUAAUAUAGGAGAAGUUUUCAAAGUUAUGAGCCCCAAAUUUCUACAUCAUUUUUGAACUAAAACCUCUUUCCAUUUCAAGCCAAUCAGUGAGCAAAUAGCCAGUGUUUAGCAGAAUUCCAGAUUUUUGCAACCGUGACUUUUUAUGUGAAAACAAAACAGAAAUCAAAUAGACUUUUAAAUAUCAAGGAGAAUAGCACUACCCAAACAUAGGCUACUCAGCCAGAUAUUCUCCAUGAAGCAAGUUUGAGAGGGAUUCAUCAAUUUUUGUAAGAGGGUGCUAAAACCUUACAACACAAAUUUUAAUCAAACUUCCAUCUAGUCAAAAGAGGCAAGAAAAAGAGCUUACUACUACCAUUUUUAACAUUGGAAUUUAAUACAAAUUCAGCCCUUAAACAUAAGCUACUCAAAUAUGUGCUAUUACAUAUUCUUACAUUUAAGAAGAAAAGAAAAGGGAAGAGAAGAAAGAAGCUAAAUAGACUAAAUAAGGAUGUAAAAAAAAUCCGACUUUAAACAUUAGGCAACCUUUAUUGAUCUUCAACAAAGAAGAAACAUCAUGUUCCACAUAAAACACACUCAAACUGCAAGGGUAAAACAACAAAAACAGGAUUCCAAAAAAAAAUUAAAAUGAAGUAACAACAGUGAAUAACCAACUUUAAACAGUUGAACUCAUCAUUUAAACCCAGGAAGAGAGUGAUGCAUUCAACUUUCAGGAAAGCAAAUAAAAAUAGGAAGAUCAAGAUGCAAUCGAACAGUGACUACCAGCUUUACCUCUUUUCUUUCUAGUUUUUAGAUUAUACUAAUGCAGCUCUAUUCGUUAGCUGCUUAUGAAAUUUAAAACCUUUAUUUCCAAAAGAAAAUUUUCAGAAUAGAAAGGAGGAAUCAAAAAUUUUCUUCAGAAAAAAUUUUCAAAAGCUUUUGUAUUUCAGCCACUUACCAUCUCCAUGCCCUUUUGUGUGAAUGAGUGCUUUCUAUAUAUAGGAUAUUCAAAAUGAUAUCCAAAAGAGAAUAUACUACUCUAAAUUCUGAAUUUCCCUGAUAGUACAGUCCUUUGUUACAUUUGUCCGUCCUUUUCUCCCUAAUAUCAAAAUUUUCAUCACAAGGAUAAGGACAAGUGUACAAAGUCCAGAACAUUCUAAUAUUUACCUCAUGUAAAAUCCCAUUUUUAACCUUCCAAACACUGAUUAUUGCAAUUUUACCUAUCAUAUCCUAAACUCUGAUGGUUUGAUUACUUAAAAGCCCCUCUCUAAACGCUUUCUAGAACCAACCAAGCCAAAAUAUCCUUAGACUCCCUGAAAUAAAUCUCACUCAACCCCUUAAAGUUUAUGAAAUUAUUCUUUCGAACCCUCUAAACAAAUGGAAAUCAAAACUCCCAUUUCACACAACUGGAGACAAAUUACAGACGGACCAGACAAAACAAAUUGAAAGGAAAAUAGAGAUCAAACAUUAACUAAUCUAUCAAGCGAAAUAAGAACAUAUUUAAUGACGACUAAAACUAAAUCCACAAUUAAUUGACCAAAAGCCCAAAACUCUAAUCUAAUUACAGGAUUAAUCAGAGAAAGGGAACAACUAUUCGGACCAUCGGCAAGUAAGGAAUCGUCAUAGAGAACAACUAAAAAAUAGAUAAGGGGUAUACCAAUUAGACUUCAGAACAUAUGAGAAUGAUGACGAUCCCAAUUCGAACUCCGGGGGGUAAAAUCAUAGCCAACUGGUGAGAAUUGGAAUACGAAUACUGGCCGAACUCUCGCCCAUAGCUAGUUCUUCAUGCCAAAUUCGUCAACGUGUGUCGAAAAGAAACAAAGUAGAGGCUUGAAAAAAUUAAAGCGGCUUGAAAGCUAAAUUCCCAAAAUUUUAGCAAAUCCAUGAGAGAGGGCUUUUGAUCUUCAGGCGAAGCUGUUUUGUUGAAGAAACUGGGAAUUCACAUGGUAUUUACUAUCGAUUGAAUUUUUAAACCGAAAAAUUUGGGAAGAGGAGAAAGUUUGGGUUUUUAAUUUUUGGAUCUAUAAUCUUGAAAGAUUGGGUGAUCUUCUAGGGAAAUCAAUGGUUGGACAAAGACGACGAGAGGGUGGAGGUUGUAUGGUUAUGAUUUGGAGGCGUUUAGAGGUGCUCCGCUGCGAUGAGGCGAUUUUCGGGCGGCGGAGCUGUGGCGGAGACGGGUGGCACUUUUUAGAGAGGAGAAGACCUAGGGUUUUUUUCGGAUUAAUGAAGAUAACAGGGGAUUUGGGCCGUUUAAUGAGUUGGAGUGGAU
rnacentral:lncRNA from 1 species